rnacentral:rRNA from 1 species
UAUGGCGUCAGCUAACUCUUUGCAACUCUUAUAUGGUCGCCCACUGAAGCUAAGCAAGGCUGCGCCCGGUCAGUACCUGGACGGGAGACCACAUGGGAAAGCUAGGUUGCUGCUGGAA